GGGUGCUUAGCGCAGUGGUAGCGCAUCAGUCUUCGAAUCUGAGGUCGCAGUUCGACCCUGCAGUGCUCG
rnacentral:tRNA from 1 species